rnacentral:rRNA from 1 species
CAGAGAUGUGCUCUCCUUCCGGGUCGAAUGGAGUACAGGUGGUGGCAUGGUUGUCGUCAGCUCGUGCCGUGAGGUGUUGGGUUAAGUCCCGCAACGAGCGCAACCCUCAUUGUUAGUUACUACCAUUCAGUUGAGGACUCUAAUGAGACUGCCGACGAUAAGUUGGAGGAAGGUGGGGAUGACGUCAAAUCAUCAUGCCCUUUAUGACCUGGGCUACAAACGUACUACAAUGGCCAAUACAAAGAGAUGCGAAGCGGUGACGUGGAGCGAACCUCAGAAAGUUGGUCUCAGUUCAGAUUGAAGUCUGCAACUCGACUUCAUGAAGGCGGAAUCGCUAGUAAUCGCGGGUCAGCAGACCGCGGUGAAUACGUUCCCGGGUUUU